rnacentral:rRNA from 1 species
GGGGAAUAUUGCGCAAUGGGGGAAACCCUGACGCAGCAACGCCGCGUGUGUGAUGAAGGCCUUCGGGUCGUAAAGCACUGUGAGGUGGAACGAGCCGCCGGGGGUUAAUACCCUUCGGCCCGACGGUACCACCAGAGGAAGCACCGGCUAACCCUGUGCCAGCAGCCGCGGUAAUACAGGGGGUGCAAGCGUUGUUCGGAAUUAUUGGGCGUAAAGCGCGUGUAGGCGGACCAUUAAGUCUGGUGUGAAAUCCCUCGGCUUAACCGAGGACGUGCAUUGGAUACUGGUGGUCUUGAGUCCUGGAGAGGGUAGCGGAAUUCCCAGUGUAGAGGUGAAAUUCGUAGAUAUUGGGAGGAACACCGGUGGCGAAGGCGGCUACCUGGACAGUGACUGACGCUGAGACGCGAAAGCAUGGGUAGCAAAC